UACAGAGGGGCCAAGCGUUGUUCGGAAUUACUGGGCGUAAAGGGCGCGUAGGCGGCCUUCUAAGUCGAACGUGAAAUCCCCGGGCUCAACCCGGGAACUGCGUCCGAUACUGGAAGGCUUGAAUCCGGGAGAGGGAUGCGGAAUUCCAGGUGUAGCGGUGAAAUGCGUAGAUAUCUGGAGGAACACCGGUGGCGAAGGCGGCAUCCUGGACCGGUAUUGACGCUGAGGCGCGAAAGCCAGGGGAGCAAAGCGGG
rnacentral:rRNA from 1 species